CACACCGCCCGUCACACCAUGGGAGUUUGUUGCACCAGAAGCAGGUAGCUUAACCGCAAGGGGGGCGCUUGCCACGGUGUGGCCGAUGACUGGGGCG
rnacentral:rRNA from 1 species